GGCGAACGGGUGAGUAACGCGUGAGCAACCUGCCUAUGACAGUGGGAUAGCCUCGGGAAACCGGGAUUAAUACCGCAUAAAAUCGUAGAAACACAUGUUUUAACGGUCAAAGAUUUAUCGGUCAUAGAUGGGCUCGCGUCUGAUUAGCUAGUUGGUGAGAUAACAGCCCACCAAGGCGACGAUCAGUAGCCGGUCUGAGAGGAUGAACGGCCACAUUGGAACUGAGACACGGUCCAAACUCCUACGGGAGGCAGCAGUGGGGAAUAUUGCACAAUGGGGGAAACCCUGAUGCAGCGACGCCGCGUGAACGAAGAAGGUAUUCGUAUCGUAAAGUUCUGUCCUAUGGGAAGAUAAUGGCAGUACCAUAGAAGAAAGCUCCGGCUAAAUACGUGCCAGCAGCCGCGGUAAUACGUAUGGAGCGAGCGUUGUCCGGAAUUAUUGGGCGUAAAGGGUACGCAGGCGGUUUAAUAAGUCGAAUGUUAAAGAUCGGGGCUCAACCCCGUAAAGCAUUGGAAACUGAUAAACUUGAGUAGUGGAGAGGAAAGUGGAAUUCCUAGUGUAGUGGUGAAAUACGUAGAUAUUAGGAGGAAUACCAGUAGCGAAGGCGACUUUCUGGACACAAACUGACGCUGAGGUACGAAAGCGUGGGGAGCAAA
rnacentral:rRNA from 1 species